UUAGACAUGAGGCCCCAACUAGGAGUUAUCUAGCCUUGCUAUGAUCCCUCUUCUACAUCUCAUCUCAUCUACACUAUAUUAGGGUACAAAUUCAGUGUAUUCAUAAUUCUAUCCAAAAUAGGAAAAAUCUUGGCUCAAACAUAUAUUUCCUGAAUGAUUAGUCUAAGGAUGGACUUAGCAGAUAUCUUCUUCUUUUGGAAAAUAGCAUUGUUCCUGUCUUGCCAAAUAUGGUAGACUGAUGCUGCUAAUGACAUUAUGCAUACUGCUUGCGCCCCACCCCAACUUUUACCUUUGGCCAAUCGUUUCUAUCCACUUCAGCACUUCAUGCCAAUCUCCCUUUGCUCUCUGAAUGCGUUGCCAUCGUAGGAGCUGAUGUUAUACAGUUGUUGAUACUUCACAGUAAAAAAAUGUGUUGUAAGGUUUCAUUUUCUUUUUGACAGAGUGAGCAUGUAAUGUCUAUAAUCCCCCACCUUGCUGGCCUUUCUUUUGUAGCUAACUUCUCUUGUAUUGCCAAUCUUAGUAUGAAGAUCCACUUUGGUAGUCCAUGAUUAUUACAAACUAGUUUCCUCCAUGACACCUUCUAAAACUCCCCCAUGCAUAGCUUUGUACAUAUGCCUUAUAAAUAAUCUCUCCAUCAUAUUCACCUCCUCUUCUGUGUAUCCAGCAACCAAUAGUAGCUUCUUGUCUUGAAUAUAUUUUUGAUGACCUACGAUGCACUUUUUGAUUUUGUGUUCCAUAUAGUAUUCCCCUUUAUGUAAUAUGCAUGAAUCUAUUGGACCCACAAAUUUUCCUUCUUUGUACAUAUAUUCCAUAAGAGCUUGCAAAUAGCUGCUUUAUUCCACAGUUCCACAUUGAUAUAAUUUAGACCUCCUGCUACCUUUGAAGCACAUAGUUAAUCACAUGCAAUCAAUGCCUUUCCGGAAGGUUCAACAGUUCCUGACCAUAACAAUAUUCUGUAUAUUGUAUCUAUGAACUGGAUGAUUUUCUUUGGCUGAAUGAAAAUGUGUGCC
rnacentral:lncRNA from 1 species